CCUCGUUGUUUGGACAUUGCAUCAAUUUAUCAUUGAAUCCUUGAAAAACUUCAUACAAGGGUUCACCACUAAGUUGGAAAAAAUUUGUAAUCUCGUCCCUUAGUUG
rfam:Capsicum annuum cultivar Zunla-1 unplaced genomic scaffold scaffold1276, whole genome shotgun sequence